CGGCAACAGCUCAAAUUUGAAAUCUGGCUCUUCUAGGGUCCGAGUUGUAAUUUGAAGAAGCGAUUAUCACGUUUUCGUUCGGGUUCAAGUUCCUUGGAAUAGGACAUCAGAGAGGGUGAGAAUCCCGU
rnacentral:rRNA from 1 species